CGGCAACGUUAGGGAGUCC
rnacentral:snRNA from 1 species